rnacentral:rRNA from 1 species
CAGCGUUAUUCGGAAUUUACUGGGCGUAAAAGCGUGGCCAGGCUGUUUUUGUAAGUUUUGUCGUGAAAGUCCCGGGCCUCAACCUGGGAAUUGCGAUGAAGACUGCAAAGCUUGAAUCUGGCAGAGGGGGGGUAGAUUCCACGUGUAGCAGUGAAAUGCGUAGAGGAUGUGGAGGAACACCGAUGGCGAAGGCAGCCCCCUGGGUCAAAGAUUGACGCUCAUGCACGAAAGCGUGGGGAGCAAACAGGAUUAGAUACCCUGUAGUCCACGCCCUAAACGAUGUCUACUAGUUGUCGGGUUUUAAUUAACUUGGUAACGCAGCUAACGCGUGAAGUAGACCGCCUGGGGAGUACGGUCGCAAGAUUAAAACUCAAAGGAAUUGACGGGGACCCGCACAAGCGGUGGAUGAUGUGGAUUAAUUCGAUGCAACGCGAAAAACCUUACCUACCCUUGACAUGUACGGAAGGCCGGAGAGAUUUGGCUGUGCUCGAAAGAGAACCGUAACACAGGUGCUGCAUGGCUGUCGUCAGCUCGUGUCGUGAGAUGUUGGGUUAAGUCCCGCAACGAGCGCAACCCUUGUCAUUAGUUGCUACGAAAGGGCACUCUAAUGAGACUGCCGGUGACAAACCGGAGGAAGGUGGGGAUGACGUCAAGUCCUCAUGGCCCUUAUGGGUAGGGCUUCACACGUCAUACAAUGGUACAUACAGAGCGCCGCCAACCCGCGAGGGGGAGCUAAUCGCAGAAAGUGUAUCGUAGUCCGGAUUGUAGUCUGCAACUCGACUACAUGAAGUUGGAAUCGCUAGUAAUCGCGGAUCAGCAUGUCGCGGUGAAUACGUUCCCGGGUCUUGCAAACACCGCCCGUC